rnacentral:piRNA from 1 species
UGACAAUAACAUGUGUGUAUC